rnacentral:rRNA from 1 species
AUUGAACGCUGGCGGCAUGCCUUACACAUGCAAGUCGAACGGUAACAGGUCUUCGGAUGCUGACGAGUGGCGAACGGGUGAGUAAUGCAUCGGAACGUGCCCAGUUGUGGGGGAUAACUGCUCGAAAGAGCAGCUAAUACCGCAUACGACCUGAGGGUGAAAGCGGGGGAUCGCAAGACCUCGCGCAAUUGGAGCGGCCGAUGUCAGAUUAGGUAGUUGGUGGGGUAAAGGCCUACCAAGCCGACGAUCUGUAGUUGGUCUGAGAGGACGACCAGCCAACCUGGGACGGAGGCACGGACCAGACUCCUACGGGAGGCAGCAGUGGGGAAUUUUGGACAAUGGGCGCAAGCCUGAUCCAGCAAUGGCGCGUGCAGGAAGAAGGCCUUCGGGUUGUAAACUGCUUUUGUCAGGGAAGAAAUCCUCUGGGUUAAUACCCCGGGGGGAUGACGGUACCUGAAGAAUAAGCACCGGCUAACUACGUGCCAGCCGCCGCCGUAACAC